CUAUUGUCUGGAUAUACCAAAGGAGAUCUACGGUCUAAUGAGGCUACUAUGAAAUAUUUACUCAUGGGUGGGGCAAGCUCUUCUAUUCUAGUUCUUGGUUUCUCUUGGCUAUAUGGUUCAUCUGGGGGGGGGAUCGAGCUUCAACAAAUUGUGAAUGUUUUUAUCAAUACACAAAUUUAUAACUCCCCUAGAAUUUCAAUUGCGUUUAUAUCCAUCACUGUAGGACUUGGGUUUAAGCUUUCCCCAGCCCCUUUUCAUCAAUGGACUCCUGACGUCUACGAAGGAGUGUGGUUCGUUCGACAAAUUCCUACAUCUAUAUCUAUCUCUGAGGUGUUUGGGUUUUGCAAAACUCCAUAG
rnacentral:rRNA from 1 species